UUCCAGAUUGAUUCUCGUUUUUUAUUUUCCGGCUUAGUAUGAGGUAUAAAUAUACCUAUCGAAUCUUAGUAAU
rnacentral:tRNA from 1 species